GGAGGCCGGGAGGCUGGGGAGGGGCCGGCGAGGGCAGGAGCGCGCCUCCUGACAUGUGGGGGGCAUCCCUGGCCGCGCCGGGCCGGGGCUAGGAGCGGCACCGCGGGCCGGGGGCGCGUCGCGGUCCGCCCCUCCGUCCCUCCGUCCUGCCCAGCUGGGGACGUGCGUUCCGCACUCGGCCGCCUCGGGGUGGGAGCGGGGAAAGCGGCGGGAGGGUCGAGGAGAGGGAGCAUUCGCCUGAGGCUGGAGGAGGCUGACCUGCGUCCCCGCCCAGCCCGUGCCUAUGCGGUACUUGAAGGAUGGCGAAGAGGUCGCGCAGUGAGGAUGAGGAUGAUGACCUUCAGUAUGCUGAUCACGAUUAUGAAGUACCACAACAAAAAGGAUUGAAGAAACUCUGGAACAGAGUAAAAUGGACAAGAGAUGAGGAUGAUAAAUUAAAGAAGUUGGUUGGACAACAUGGAACUGAUGACUGGACUCUAAUUGCUAGUCAUCUUCAAAACCGUUCUGAUUUUCAAUGCCAGCAUCGAUGGCAGAAAGUUUUAAAUCCUGAAUUGAUAAAGGGUCCUUGGACUAAAGAAGAAGAUCAGAGGGUUAUUGAAUUAGUUCAGAAAUAUGGACCAAAACGAUGGUCUUUAAUUGCAAAACAUUUAAAAGGAAGAAUAGGGAAGCAGUGCAGAGAAAGAUGGCAUAAUCAUCUGAACCCUGAGGUGAAGAAAUCUUCUUGGACAGAAGAGGAGGACAGGAUCAUCUAUGAGGCACAUAAGCGGUUGGGAAAUCGUUGGGCAGAAAUUGCCAAACUACUUCCUGGAAGGACUGAUAAUUCUAUCAAAAAUCAUUGGAAUUCUACUAUGCGAAGAAAAGUGGAACAGGAGGGCUACUUACAAGAUGGAAUAAAAUCAGAACGAUCUUCAUCUAAGCUUCAACACAAACCUUGUGCGACUAUGGACCAUUUGCAAACCCAGAAUCAGUUUUACAUACCUGUUCAGAUCCCUGGCUAUCAGUAUGUGUCACCUGAAGGCAAUUGUGUAGAACAUGUUCAGACUUCUGCUUUUCUUCAGCAACCUUUUGUUGAUGAAGAUCCUGAUAAAGAAAAGAAAAUAAAGGAACUUGAGUUGCUGCUCAUGUCAGCUGAGAACGAAGUUAGAAGAAAGAGAUUUCCAUCGCAGCCUGGAAGCUUUUCUAGCUGGUCUGGUAGUUUCCUCAUGGAUGAUAGCAUGUCUAAUAAUAUAAAUAGCCUUGAGGAGCAUGCUAGUGAGUUUUACAGUAUGGAUGAAAAUCAGACCAUGUCUGCUCAGCAAAACUCACCCACGAAGUUCCUGGCUGUCGAAGCAAAUGCUGUGCUGUCCUCUCUACAGACCAUCCCAGAAUUUGCAGAGACUCUAGAGCUUAUUGAAUCUGAUCCUGUAGCAUGGAGUGAUGUGACCAGUUUUGAUCUUUCUGAUGCUGCUGCUUCUCCUGUUAAGUCCACCCCAGUUAAACUGAUGCGAAUUCAACACAAUGAAGGAGCCAUGGAAUGUCAAUUUAAUGUCAGUCUUGUACUUGAAGAAAAAAAGAACAGUUGUAACAAUGGAGAGAGUGAGGCUAUUCCUUUAACAACCCCAAAUGUGGCCAAGUUUAGCACUCCACCUACCAUCCUCAGAAAGAAGAGAAGAACGCGAGUAGGUCAGUCCCCAGGUAGUGAACUUGGUGAUGGCUCAUUCCAUGAUGGCGGUAAUACAGCACUAAAACACACGCCAGUGAAAACACUACCAUUUUCACCUUCACAGUUUUUCAACACAUGUCCUGGAAAUGAACAACUUAAUAUAGAAAAUCCUUCAUUUACAUCAACUCCUAUUUGUGGGCAAAAAGUUCUCAUUACAACUCCUCUUCAUAAGGAAGCAACUCCCAAAGAUCAAAAGGAAAAUGUAGGGUUUCGAACACCUACUAUUAGAAGAUCUAUAUUGGGUACCACACCAAGAACUCCUACUCCUUUUAAGAAUGCGCUUGCUGCACAGGAGAAAAAAUAUGGACCUCUUAAAAUUGUGACCCAGCCUCUUGCCUUCUUGGAAGAAGAUAUUCGGGAAGUUUUAAAAGAAGAAACUGGAACAGACAUAUUCCUCAAAGAAGAAGAUGAAUCUGGUUACAAAAGCUGCAAACAAGAGCAUCCUGCUUCUGUGAAGAAAGUCAGAAAAUCACUAGUCUUAGAUAGUUGGGAAAAAGAAGAACCAGGCACUCAACUGUUGACAGAAGACAUUACAGAUAUGCAGUCAAAUUGUGAAUGGGAGACAGUGGUUUAUGGGAAGACAGAAGAUCAGCUUAUCAUGACUGAACAAGCAAGAAGAUAUCUGAGUACUUACACGGCUACUAGCAGUACUUCAAGAGCUCUAAUACUUGAACAUAGUAAAGAACAAGUUUGGCCUUGAAGUAUGAAACAGUCGCAAGUUACAGCUGCAAAGAAUACAAUAUCUAUACUGUAUGUCACAUCUACCUAAAUAUUGCACUAUGCCCUUUAAAUCAUGUUGGUUAUAAAGUAGUUCUAAAAAUGUACUAAAUAAUAAUUUAAUAUUUUCUUUUUAAAUUAUAUUGGGGGGUCAUAUAAAUUAAUCUGGUGAUUUGUAUAUGUGUUUAAAAUUUUUUGCAUUUUGUUUAAAAAAAUAAUAUGGUACCUUGGUCCCUAAAAACAGUAUGCACUUAGAAAUUUAUUAUUAUUUACUCAAUGUUUCAGAAGUAGAGAACAUUAUCUCUUAUUUAUAAAAAUAUUUUGUCCUUUUAUAAAUGUUUUGUGUUUCUCUACAGGUUACAACAGUUGCUUCAGUUGCCUGUAUUAGUAUGCUGCUAUAGAAAAUAGCAGAAUCGGCUUGCUGCUAUGAGAGAAGGAAAGAGCGACCACCACUUGCACUGUGUGAAAGGAUGAAAAGCAAAUGAUGGCAAGUUCCCAAGUUAACUUAAAAAUGGAAUCAACCAUUACCUGGAAAUUCUUACAGAUACCAAAAUCCUGCUAUGCUUUAAAAAAGCAAAAUAAAAACACCUUGAGAUUUCCAUAUCUGGUUUUUGUUAGUAGAAGUGGAAAUACUAAGUAUUUUAAUGCCUAGCUCUUGAACCGUAGAUCUAAAGGGUUUUAAGCUAUUUAAAUCCACUGGCUAGUUUUUGCAUAUUACAUGUAGUGAGAAGUGAAGAAAAUGUAUGGUACUAAGAUUAUGCCUUACUGAUAACAAAUAGAUAAACCAAUUUGAAUCUUCUUAGUAUGUUAAGUAUUUUUGAUUGCUUUAUAAUUAAUGAACUUCUCACAGAAAUUUCAUUUUGUAAAACCAAUGAUUGUUGCAAAGUGUAACUACUAUUUCAGUUAAUUUGAACUGAUAGCACAUAAUGGUUUUUUUGUCGUCAUUUUUUGCUUUUUAAAAAAUGUAGCCUUUAGUUGGUUUGGAUGUACAUAGUCUCCAGUCACCAAACUGUAAUAUCUGGAAAGAGCUAUAUUUUUUUAAGCCUAAUUUUUCUUGAGCAUUAAGUUAUCCAAAUGAUAACAUAUUGUGGCUAAGUCUGGGCGUACUGGACGUCAUACAUAUUUGGGUUGGUAUUGGUUGAAUCCUCCAGUUAACUGCUUUGUUGCUUUUUGCAAGAUUUUUAAUCUCAAAAAUGUCAGGCAUCUUAAGUCACCUUUAUACUGCUGAGUUCAUUUGAACUUUUUGUAAUAUGUUGUAAAAAUGCCAGACAUACAUGUAGCAGCCAUACUUGCAUAGAAACUGACUACACAUUUAUAAUACUGCAUAUUGUUGUAAGGUUUUCACAUUAAUACUACAAUUACCCUGACUAAAUUGAAUUUUUUAAUGUAUGGGAAAACUCUACAUUGUAAGAGAAUCUUGCAUACAAUGUCAACAUAUAUUUAUAUCCAAAAUAAAGCCUUUGUGUA